UAAAUGGUAAACAUUGCUUUUUGGUAUUUCAUCCCUGUGUUACUGAAAAUCAUAUUCGACACAGUCCACUCUAAAUUUCAACAAAAAUAAUGAAGUGCGCCAUGAACAGUUAGUGAAACAUUGAAACAUGUGUUAAACAUUGUGUAAGGAUUGUUGAAAGUUAACAAGUAAAAUAACUAAGCUUCCAAUAGUACUUCCUUAAAGAGAUGAUGGCACCAAAUCUACUUUGGAUUUUAUACGGCAUUGAUGUAUUUUAGAAACAAGGUAAGUUGUUACAUUAUAAAAUUACAAUAGAUUAACUAGUAGUAAAUAACUUCAUGCACUUUUUGAUAACUUUGUGCACAUAAAAUAAAACGUUAGUAGGUAGUGUAAGGAGUACGCUGUUUCCCAGUGUUAUGUCACAUUACAAUAAUUUGUUUUGAUUUUUUAGGAUAUCAAGAUGAACAGAGUGUCAAAAGAACAGCUUGAGGUUUUGUUGGAGUUUUAUAGUUCUUACAAGAACAUCAUUCUUUAGCCAAAGACAUAGACUCGGCACCACAUUCAAGAAAACUUUCGAUAGUCAGUGGAAACAUCUAGCGAUAAAGCUGAACUCUAUUGGUUUAGGUUCUUCCAAAACUGGAGAGCAUUUGAAACGUACUGGGCUGAUAUUUAAUAAGAGCAAAACCAGACUUGCUAAACAUAAAUGGAGUCUUCUGACUGACUGACUGGCAGCGGUCUGAGUACACCGAAAAGAUAUUUCCGAGAUGGACAAAAAAAUCUGUCAUUGGAGAACAGGCUCUGUUUGGGAUGUAGAAAACAGAGUUCCAAUAUUGUAAACUUUACCAUAAAUAUUAUGUAUAUUAAAGAAAAAAAAGAUUUUUAUUUAAUAACUAGCCUUGCCAACUUCACAACAUGUCAAACAUUUUUACUUUUUUUUAUUUUAUGUUUUCUUGUGUAGUUCACAUUAAUAAUAAUCACAUUGAAAUAUAGUUUAUUUCACUCAGGAAUAAUGUAGCUUUCUACUGGUAAUAGAAUUUAAAAAAUGAAUUCAGUAUUUCCAGAAUUAACUUACUGCUAACAAUCUUAUAAACUUAGAUUUUCACACACUAAUUUGAGUAAUUAAUUAAAUCAUUUUUUUGUUUUUAAAAUGUACAUAGUACUUACAUGUAUACAGUAGCAUGUUUUAUAUAAAUAAAAAUGCCGUUUAGAAUUUGA